AUUAUCAGAGCUGUGCCAAAGCUCAGUAAUUUGUAAUCAAAUCGAGGAGUUGAGAAGUCGACGGAAAAAGGCGUCUGCUCGAAGGAUAGGACUUCAUAAUCGGGGUGCUUUCGCAAAGCGCCAGACCUUGGAGGCUGGUGGUAGGUCGGCUUGGAAGAAUUUGCCACGGAGAACUCAAAGGAUGGAGCUGGUUGCUUAGCAAGAAGAACCUGCUGAAGGCCUCUCAACAUCUUAAGGAAUUGUGUACACAGUGUGCCUUUAUGUAUCCGUCUUCGGUGCCCUGCAUCCUUAGCGCUUGCCUGGUCAGUCUGGAGCCAGAUACCACCUUGAGAAGUCGACUGAAAAAGGCGUCUGCUCGAAGGAUAGGACUUCAUAAUCGGGAUGCUUUCGCAAAGCGCCAGACCUUGGAGGCUGGUGGUAGGUCGGCUUGGAAGAAUUUGCCACGGAGAACUCAAAGGAUGGAGCUGGUUGCUUAGCAAGAAGAACCUGCUGAAGGCCUCUCAACAUCUUAAGGAAUUGUGUACACAGUGUGCCUUUAUGUAUCCGUCUUCGGUGCCCUGCAUCCUUAGCGCUUGCCUGGUCAGUCUAGAGCCAGAUACCACCUUGAGAUAUGUAAUUGGUACUUGAAUAUCAAUUUCUUCAUGAGAUACUGGCCUACAGAAAUGAAAUAUCUAUGAAUGCAUAAAUAGAAAAAUACAAGUAAAAAAAAAUAAAAAAAUUGUUGGGAGUACUUUCAUGAAAGCGUGAAAAUGAGCCGUAAUGUAAUUACCAUAACAAGUCGUCCGCAUAUGCGACCAGAGUCACUCCUUCUAUCUUAUCCUCAGAACAGGGUCAAAAUAAAUGUUCCAUAUGAUUGGUCCCUGCUUUGAUCCCUGCGGGACUGCACUCGUCAGCCUGUACUUCUGUCAUUCCUUGGUUUUUAUCUUUCUCUCCCUGAGAUAUUGCUUCAUGAUGUCUAUAAGGAAUCCGGGUACCUCCCACCUGAAUUUUAAGGUUAUUCUUUUUUUUUCGGGCCUUUGGCAUGGCUGCCUCCGUUUUCCUGGUGCACAGGGGAACCUUCAGCCUUCGCACCUCUUCGUCUAUCCUCGCUAUCAUCCCCUCUGCCCUUGUCUAUAUCUCUUCUCCGCUCUUACCCAUUACCAUUAAUGCCAUUUUUGGUUCUGCACAUAAUAAGAGCUUGGCACGUAGUUCAUAGUUACUAUUACUAGUCCAUGAAUUUCACGAUGCUCAAUAAAGCUGCCAUGCAAUAACAUUUGUCUUGAUGAUACAAGGAGACAGGGAAUCUCCUAGUCAGAAAUUUGAACGCGAAAUUCAUGAAAUUAGGUUCUUUUUGAUCUAUUAAUAAAAAAUUAAUAAUCUUCUACUUUUCGUCAAGAAAAUUGGUACUUGAAUAGCAAUUUCUUCACGAGAUACUGGCCUACAAAAAUAAAAUAUCUAUAAAUGCAUAAAUGGUAAAAUACAAGUACAAAAAAAAAUAAAAAAUGUUAAGAGUGCUAUCAUUGAAGCGUGAAAAUGAGCCGUAUUGUAAUUACCAUAGUCACUCCGUCUUUCUUAUCCUCAGAACAGGGUCAAAAUAAAUGUUCCAUAUGAUAGGUCCCUGCUUUGAUCCCUGCGGGACUGCUCUCGUCAGCCUGUAAUUCUGUUCUUAGCUUUCUCUCCCUGAAAUAUUGUUUCAUGAUGUCUAUAAGGAAUCCGGGUACCUGCGCUUCCCUCAUUCUCUCCACUGCCGUUGCCCAGUGGAAGCUGUUAAAUGCAUUUUCAAUGUCGACUGUCAUCAUCAGUAAGCUCUUUUUGCUUUAUAACAUCCUCUAUCUAUAUCCGUACUUCCCACCUGAAUUUUAAGGUUAUUUUUUUUCGGACCUUUGACAUGACUCUCCGUUUUCCUGGUGCAGAGGGUAACCUUCAGUCUUCGCACCUCUUCGUCUAUCCUCGCUAUCAUCCCCCGUGCCCUUGUCUAUAUCUCUUCUCCGCUCUCACCCAUUACCAUUAAUGCCAUUUUUGGUUCUGCACAUAAUAAGAGCUUGGCACGUUGUUCAUAGUUACUAUUACUAGUCCAUGAAUUUCACGAAGCUCAAUAAAGCUGCCAUGCAAUAACAUUUUUCUUGGGUAUAUAAAGAGACAUUGAAUCUCCUAGUAAGAAAUUUGUACGCGAAAUUCAUGAAAUGAGGUUCUUUUUGAUCUAUUGAUGAAAAGUUGAUAAUCUUCUACUUUUCGUCAAGAAAAGGGUCAAAAUAAAUGUUCCAUAUGAUUGGUCCAUGCUUUGAUCCCUGCGGGGCUGCACUCGUCAGCCUGUACUUCUGUCAUUCCUCAGUUCUUAUCUUUCUCUCCCUGAAAUAUUGUUUCAUGAUGUCUAUAAGGAAUCCGGGUACCUGUGCCUCCCUCAUUCUCUCCACUACCGUUGCCCAGUGGAAGCUGUUAAAUGCAUUCUUGCAAAAUAUACAGUAUUUUCGUCCUGCAUGUGUUCCCUGUCCAAUACCAUAUGUCCUUCUGUUCGGUGUGAUAGUAUUUGUCCCGAUUUUAAUCUUCCAUCUCUGAUAAAUUUGAACAUCUUUUUUGAUGUUCCCACGAACGGUCUGAGGUAUUUGAUUUCUCUCAUUGCCUUUGGACUUGCCAUUACCGCUACGCUCCCCUCUACUUCUAGGCUUUCUAUACUACCUCCAUUUAUUUCCACCUUAUACAACGAUGCUGGCCAUAACUCCUCCACAAUUUUUUGAGGUUAUCCGGCUCCGAAAUAUAUUUCAUCUGAGUUCUUAUUUCUUUUAUCGCUCGUUCUUCCUCAAUUUGUUUGCUAUCCACUUGUAUACCUAUUUCGAAACCUUCCUUGUGUGUUUUUUAUAUUUCGUCAUUUAUUGUUUCCCUCAUUCUGUCUAUUUCUGUCUUCGUCCCGUCUGUGAUUGUUUUCCCAUUUAGGAGAAUUUUUCCCAUCAGUUCUCCUGCCGCUACUAUCACUUCAAUUAUUUAAGCGUAUCGCUGUUCAUUGUUAUAUAGAAUGAAGCAUUCUUCAUUAUCUUUCUUUUGCAUGGGUUUGUGCACAACUAGUCGAAAAACUGUCCCCUGUAGGGUUUCCGGAAUUUCUGGAGUGGAAAUAUCAACUUCCAUGGUUUCUCCUCCCAACAGUUGUGACUCUCUUCCAUGCUUAAUUUCUGGUGUUUCUUCUAUUGGAGAGCUCGUAAUAAGCAAUUCUGUUCUUUCCGCUUUAUCUCCGUCUGGUCAUCGUUUGUGGUCACCUUUCCCCUUUUUUUCUGGUGAAUUUCUCAUUAUUUUACUUGAUUAUCCGAAAAUUGAGCUUUCCUUUCUUACCUCACCUUCUCGGCUCUCUGACUCUUCUCCCCUUCCUGUCAUUGGCACUUGCGUCCUGGCCUGGUUGCAUACCGGAGACGCUGUACAGUCGCUGAAUAUUGAUCGGGUCUGGCUUGCACUACAACCAGGAACACCGACCGGCACUGGUGUGUGCAAUCCCUGCACCGUAAAUUUUUUUUUUAUUGUUUUUCAUCAUUGAAGAAUUUUUGAGGCAGUGCUAUGGACACAUCCCCAGUCUAGUUCAGACAAAAGUUUAACGUCUGAUGAUAGUGCCGCUGGCCGUAAGUGAGAAUGGUAUUCAGACGGCGUUUCACAAAAAAACGCUUCACAGCUACACUUUCAGGCCAGAAAGAUGGGUUCAUGGCCGUAUCCAAUGACUGCAAUGGUACAACGAGCUUAAAAUGGAAUAAAUAUCUGGUCUCCUAGAGGUCAAUUUUUCACAUGACACACCAGGUAUACUCGCACCAACAUAUUUCUCCAGAUCUUCAAUGCUAGUUGUUGAGCUUAGUCUGGAUACGUGGAUAAAUGCAAGACGCCUCUUGAGAACCGCGAGCAGUGAUUGAUUGUGCCCCCGAGAUGAUUUCAGUUUUUUGCUAUCAGAAAGCGAACUCAAAUUUAAAAAGUGCUCAACUAAUACUAUAAAGGAUGCUCUAUAACUUCAAAUCAAAUCAUUUUGAGGAAAACUCCAUAAAAGAGGUACGUACGGUAGAGCGGUGGGACUUUGCCAACGGAGGUGACUUUGCCGAACUGCCUAAUAUUUCAAAUUUCACUCAAAUUCUUAAAAUCAUUCAACUGUUUAAUCCUAUCAGGUAAUUUAUUGUACAAUUUAAUACACAUGGGUGCUUUUCUGAUAGAGAUAACCUAUGUAUGGGAUAAUGUAAGUUCUGCGAUCUCAAUUACUUUUAAUUGUGUGAACUGAAAAAAUAUCUUUGUUCUUGAAAAAAAAAAAGCAAACAUUCUAAUACAUAAAUACCAAAAAUUGUUAACAGUUUAUUUCUCUUAAAUAAUCCCCUACAUGAUUGAAUUGAAGUCAUUUUAUAAAUAUACCUCGUCACCCUUUUUUGUAACACAAACAAUUUAUUGACCUCUGAGCUUGAUCCCCAAAAUAUAAUGCCAUAUCUUAAAAGGCAUUCAAAAUUUGCAAAAUAAACUGUUUUUGAAUUAUUUAGACUCAAAUACUUUGAUAAUGUUCUGAUUCCAAAUCCUACACGACAUAGCUUCCCUGAUAGGUAAUCUAUGCGAUAUGACCAUUUAAGGAAACCAUCCAAAUAUACCCCCAAAAAUUCAAUUGACAUUACAACCAUUUAAAUCCAAAACAUUUUCCCUCCUUUUCUGCGAUCUGCUUGUACUAAAUAGCACAGCCGAUGUUUUACUUUCAUUCAUAAAUAAUUUGUUCUUUGUAAACCUUGAUUUUAAUUUAUUAUAUAUUGAGAGUGUUUUUGCCUUGAUACCAUCAAAAUCAUCGCCACCAAUCAUCAAAUUAGUAUCAUCAACAAAAGAAGUUAACAAUUUUAGGAUUUCUUCAAUUACAUCACAUAUAUCUAUUAAAAACAUUAUGAAUAGAGGUACUCCAUAAUUUGAUUCAAUUAUAUCUGAUUUUACAUCUUUGCCAUUUUUAACAAUAGACACUCUCUGCGAACGAUCGGAAAUAUAUGAGGCUAUCCAGUCUUUUGCACUACCUCUAAUACCCAGUUUUUCGAGUUUUAUUAAGAGAAAAGGUCUGAACAAAUAGUCAUAAGCACUCGCCAGAUCAACAAACAAACUUUACUCAAGUUUAUCCUCCUCAGGAAGUCUUAUAACCUUUUCUGUAAACUGAUAUAAUGCAGUCUGAACAGAUCGACCCUCCAAGUAGCCAUGCUAAGAGUCAUUAAACAGAUUGCAUUCCUUCAUGAAUAUCAACAAUCUUUCACACAUUACAUGCUCAAAUAUUUUGGAAAAACUGGACAGUAUUAUGAUAUUAAUAAUAAUAAAGUUUAUUUGCUUUCAACACGACCUAAUAUAAUAUUCUAUUAAAUAUUGCAAAUGAACAUGAUGAACAGAGGCUCACUAGAGGUUAGUUCUGAUAGAUGAUGAUAGAUAGGUCUGUAACUUUCAAAACAAGUAUCAUCUCCUUUUUUAUAAAUGGGUUUUAUCAACGCUAAUUUCAAGUUCUUGGGAAGAAUUCCAAACUUAAGAGAAUUGUUGACUAUAUAUGAAAUGACACCCUUUAUCUCAUCUGCACAAUAUUUCAUAAUAUUGACAGGUAUACCAUCAACGCCACUACAGUAUUUAUUCUUUAUUUUAUUGAUUAUUUCGACUAUUUCAUUAGGAUUAGUUGGAUGUAAAUGAAUUCAUCUGGGGUUAUUUGGUAAAUUACAAGAAAAGACUUCAUCACCCAAAUCACUUAGCAUAAUGGGAAUUUUAUCAACUAAGAACUUAUUAUAUUUUUCAGCUAUACUAUCAGCACCUUCACUAAAAAAAAUAUUUUUAUUUUUACUUUCUGUACCUCUUAUAUCAUUACAAAUCGACCACAUUGUUUUAUUUUCAUUGUUCGAUGACUGAAUUUUCAUAUUAUUAUUAUUACAUGGAAUAAGAGCUGAGGUUGGUAACCUAUAAAAGCUCAGAAAUGGAAAAAAAAAUUAAAUUAAAUAGAAGUACAUUAAUAAACUAAAGUAAACCAAAAAGCACAAAGGUAAAUAUACAAAGUCACCGCCGAGUACACCAUCCAUCGUAUAAUAUAUAUAAUUGGUAAUUCGGAAUAAGGACUACAGAAUCAGAAAUAUCAGUAUGCAACCAAGAUUCAGUAAUGAAAAUGAGCGAUGGACCAUGCACUCUAACAAAUGAGAGAAGUUCAUGAUAUUUCGAAUGGAGAGAUUGAAUGUUCCCUCCAAGCUGGCUGAAUCAAGCACUAGUGGUUCCGACAGUGAAUCUGAUAGUAGCAUCAAUACAGAUAGCCCUUCAGAAGAGGAAACUGCUAGGAUUGAUAAAGUAAAGCAAGUGACCAAAAGGUGGAAGCGAGCAAUGAUUCAGAAAGAACGAAAGAAGGAAGACUCGAGAUAGCUUCGCAUCAAAAUUAAAAUAAUAAGAACAGGCAAAAAAACUACUACCUACAAAAUUGUAAAGCCUAGCGAUGACAGGGAUGAACUGAAAGAAACCACGCUAUCUCGCGGAGGCACCAAAAAGAGGAAGAGGGAAGAAGCCAAGCUAGAAGGGAUUAAUUCAAUGUUGAGAGCAGAGGAGGUAUUCUCAGAUGGCCCUAAUUCUGAAGAUCGUAAGCACAAGUCAAAGUCGCCAUCAAAAGCUAGUCGGAGUAAAGAGGGAGUUAAAGAGAAGCUUUAUGUGCCAAGUAAAAUAGAAAUUAACUUGAUUCGGUUGUCCAGGAAUAACGUGGAAAAAAUUAUUGAUAUGCCAUGUUUUGCUACUAUAGCAAUAGGCUGUUUUAUUAAAAUUGGACUUGGCCAAAGCGGGAAUAAGGAGAUUUA